rnacentral:misc_RNA from 1 species
ACAAAAUAUGGGAAAAUCUUCCACAAAGAAUCGACGAUUACAUUAUUCCGGUCCCACAACAAGGAAAUGAUUAUGAUUGUGGACUCUUUGUGCUAUUCUUUAUGGAACGAUUCAUUGCUGAAGUUCAUGAAAGACUUAAAAAGAAGGAUCUGACAAUGUUCGGAAGAAAGUGGUUUAAACCUGAAGAAGCAUCUCGUAUGAGGCGGAUAAUUCGCGACAUACUUGAGGAAAAAUUCAAGAAUCCAAGUGACAAAUAGUGUUUCUUGGUCACCUUUUUUUGCAACAACAUACCCAG